GUUUCUGUGGCGCAAUGGACCAGCGCGUUCGGCUGGUAACUGAAAGUUUGGUGGUUUGAGCCCACCCAGGGACG